rnacentral:rRNA from 1 species
AUUGAACGCUGGCGGCAUGCCUUACACAUGCAAGUCGAACGCGAAAGAGGGGCAACCCUUGAGUAGAGUGGCGAACGGGUGAGUAACGCAUCGGAACGUAUCCAGUAGUGGGGGAUAACCCAUCGAAAGAUGGGCUAAUACCGCAUACGCCCCGAGGGGGAAAGUGGGGGAUCCGCAAGGACCUCACGUUAUUGGAGCGGCCGAUGUCCGAUUAGCUAGUUGGCGGGGUAAGAGCCCACCAAGGCGACGAUCGGUAGCUGGUCUGAGAGGAUGUUCAGCCACACUGGGACUGAGACACGGCCCAGACUCCUACGGGAGGCAGCAGUGGGGAAUUUUGGCCAAUGGGGGCAACCCUGAUCCAGCCAUGCCGCGUGAGUGAAGAAGGCCUUCGGGUUGUAAAGCUCUUUCGGCCGGAACGAAAUCGCAUCCUCUAAUACGGGGUGUGGAUGACGGUACCGGAAGAAGAAGCACCGGCUAACUACGUGCCAGCCGCCGCAGUAAAAC